rnacentral:rRNA from 1 species
GCGAUAGGGGGACAUCGAGUGGCAUCCACCUUGGGUGCCUGUCCAACCGUCUAAAAAACGGUUGUUAGCAAGGGCCGGGUAAGACCGGUGCCAGCCGCCGCGGUAAUACCGGCGGCUCGAGUGGUGGCCGAUAUUAUUGAGUCUAAAGGGUCCGUAGCCGGCUUUGCAAGUCCCCUGGGAAAUCCAGCGGCUUAACCGUUGGGCUUUCAUGGGAUACUACAUUGCUUGGGACUGGGAGAGGUAGGAGGUACUCGGGGGGUAGGGGUGAAAUCCUGUAAUCCUCCGGGGACCACCGGUGGCGAAGGCGUCCUACCAGAACAGGUCCGACGGUGAGGGACGAAAGCUAGGGGCACGAACCGGAUUAGAUACCCGGGUAGUCCUAGCCGUAAACGAUGCCCGCUAGGUGUCACGACGGUCGUGAAUCGUCGUGGUGCCGUAGGGAAGCCGCGAAGCGGGCCACUUGGGAAGUACGGCCGCAAGGCUGAAACUUAAAGGAAUUGGCGGGGGAGCAC